CCACUUCGGGCCUCAGUUUUUGGAUCUGUAAAAUGUGACCACUGAAUCAAUCAUUCCCAGGGUUCCAUCCGGCGCCCUAGCUCUCUGGGUGGCCUGAACCCUGCAGGGGACACAGCGCACUGGGGCUGGCCCGGGUCUGGGUGACCUGCCUGACACUGCUCUAGAUGGGAGGGACAAGGCGUGGGGCGCCAGCGGGAGGAAAGGAACUUGGACUUGCAACAGCUCCCCAAGGGAGCAGAUGACAAACUCCUAACAAUAGGAGAGCGCUCUCCCGUUUUCCUGGCUCCAGCUCGCAGGACGCCGUGAUUGACUCCUGGGACACACACUCAGUUGAGUCCCCAGCCGAUUCACGAACCAGAUUACGUCCUGGCUUAAUUCUCCGAUUUUCAUCUCCCAGGACAUGCUUGACUUGUCGCCAACCGCUCACACACAACACCAGCCUGAUUAAUCUCAGCUCACAAGAUUGA
rnacentral:lncRNA from 1 species